rnacentral:rRNA from 1 species
ACUCGACUCCUACGGGAGCAGCAGUGGGGGAAUAUUGCACAAUGGGCGCAAGCCUGAUGCAGCGACGCCGCGUGAGGGAUGACGGCCUUCGGGUUGUAAACCUCUGUUAGCAGGGAAGAAGAGAGAUUGACGGUACCUGCAGAGAAAGCGCCGGCUAACUACGUGCCAGCAGCCGCGGUAAUACGUAGGGCGCGAGCGUUGUCCGGAAUUAUUGGGCGUAAAGAGCUUGUAGGCGGUUUGUCGCGUCUGCUGUGAAAGGCCGGAGCUUAACUCCGUGUAUUGCAGUGGGUACGGGCAGACUAGAGUGCAGUAGGGGAGACUGGAAUUCCUGGUGUAGCGGUGGAAUGCGCAGAUAUCAGGAGGAACACCGAUGGCGAAGGCAGGUCUCUGGGCUGUAACUGACGCUGAGAAGCGAAAGCAUGGGGAGCGAACAGGAUUAGAUACCCUGGUAG